ACUCCCGUGAGAAUGCCCUUUCUUAACCGUUUGGAAUGAAGGAGCUGGUAUCAGGCACAACAUAUUUAGCCCAAGACACCUUGCUCAGCCACACCCCCACGGGUACUCAGCAGUAAUAAACAUUAAGCCAUAAGUGAAAACUUGACUUAGUUAACAUCAAGAGGGCCGGUAAAACUCGUGCCAGCCACCGCGGUUAUACGAGGGGCCCAAGUUGAUAGAAUCCGGCGUAAAGAGUGGUUAAUAAACAAAAAACUAAAGCCGAACACCUUCAAAACUGUUAUACGUACUUGAAGACAGGAAGAUCUAUAACGAAAGUGGCUUUAAUCAAUAUGAACCCACGAAAGCUAGGGAACAAACUGGGAUUAGAUACCCCACUAUGCCUAGCCUUAAACAUAAAUGUGCCAAUACAACAACCAUUCGCCAGGGGACAACGAGCCCCAGCUUAAAACCCAAAGGACUUGGCGGUGUUUUAGACCCCCCUAGAGGAGCCUGUUCUAGAACCGAUACCCCCCGUUCAACCUCACCCUCUCUUGUUUUCCCCGCCUAUAUACCGCCGUCGUCAGCUUACCCCGUGAGGAACUAAUAGUAAGCAGAAUUGGUAAAACCCAAAACGUCAGGUCGAGGUGUAGCGAACGAGAGGGGAAGAAAUGGGCUACAUUUACUGCCCCAGUAAAUACGAAUGCUGUGCUGAAAUAAACAGUUGAAGGAGGAUUUAGCAGUAAGGAGGGGAAUAGAGCGCCCCCCUGAAAACGGCCCUGAAACGCGCACACACCGCCCGUCACUCUCCCCAACAACACACUAACAUAAAUAAUAAGACUUAAAAUACAAGGGGAGGCAAGUCGUAACAUGGUAAGUGUACCGGAAGGUGUACUUGGAAAAACC
rnacentral:ncRNA from 1 species